UGAGGAAUAUUGGUCAAUGGGCGAGAGCCUGAACCAGCCAAGUCGCGUGAAGGAAGACAGUCCUAAGGAUUGUAAACUUCUUUUAUACGGGAAUAACGGGCGAUACGAGUAUUGCAUUGAAUGUACCGUAAGAAUAAGCAUCAGCUAACUCCGUGCCAGCAGCCGCGGUAAUACGGAGGAUGCGAGCGUUAUCCGGAUUUAUUGGGUUUAAAGGGUGCGUAGGUUGUUCGGUAAGUCAGCGGUGAAACCUGAGCGCUCAACGUUCAGCCUGCCGUUGAAACUGCCGGGCUUGAGUUCAGUGGCGGCAGGCGGAAUUCGUGGUGUAGCGGUGAAAUGCAUAGAUAUCACGAAGAACUCCUAUUGCGAAGGCAGCUUGCUGGAGUGUAACUGACGCUGAUGCUCGAAAGUGUGGGUAUCAAACAGGAUUAGAUACCCUGGUAGUCCACACAGUAAACGAUGAAUACUCGCUGUUUGCGAUAUACUGCAAGCGGCCAAGCGAAAGCGUUAAGUAUUCCACCUGGGGAGUACGCCGGCAACGGUG
rnacentral:rRNA from 1 species